rnacentral:rRNA from 1 species
UAUUGAUCCUGCCGGACCUGACUGCUAUCGGAUUGGUACUAAGCCAUGCGAGUCGUUGUAGCAAUACAAGGCGGACUGCUCAGUAACACGUAGUUAACUUAACCUAUGGAUGGGCAUAACCUCGGGAAACUGAGAAUAAUACCCAAUGGACCACAGUGCCUGGAAUGGCCUGUGGUUGAAAUGAUUUAUCGCCGUAGGGAAAUUCAA